AAUUUUAUAACAAAAUAAAACUUUCAACAACGGAUCUCUUGGCUCUCGCAUCGAUGAAGAACGCAGCGAAAUGCGAUAAGUAAUGUGAAUUGCAGAAUUCAGUGAAUCAUCGAAUCUUUGAACGCACCUUGCGCUCCAUGGUAUUCCGUGGAGCAUGCCUGUUUGAGUGUCAUGAAUACUUCAACCCUCCUCUUUCUUAAUGAUUGAAGAGGUGUUUGGUUUCUGAGCGCUGCUGGCCUUUAGGGUCUAGCUCGUUCGUAAUGCAUUAGCAUCCGCAAUCGNNCNUCGGAUUGACUUGGCGUAAUAGACUAUUCGCUGAGGAAUUCUAGUCUUCGGACUAGAGCCGGGUUGGGUUAAAGGAAGCUUCUAAUCAGAAUGUCUACAUUUUAAGAUUAGAUCUCAAAUCAGGUAGGACUACCCGCUGAACUUAAGCAUAUCAAU
rnacentral:rRNA from 1 species